rnacentral:rRNA from 1 species
CGCCUUAUACAUGCAAGUCGAACGCAGUAGCAAUACUGAGUGGCAAACGGGUGAGUAUAAUGUGGGUAUCUACCUUUUGGUUUGGAAUAACAUGAGGAAACUUGUGCUAAUACCGAAUAAGCCUUCACAGGGAAAGUUUUACACGCCGAAAGAUGAGCCCGCACUUGAUUAGUUUGUUGGUGAGGUAAUGGCUCACCAAGACAAUUAUCAAUAGCUGGUCUGAGAGGACGAUCAGCCACAUUGGGACUGAGACACGGCCCAGACUCCUACGGGAGGCAGCAGUAAGGAAUCUUGCACAAUGGGGGAAACCCUGAUGCAGCGAUGCCGCGUGAGUGAAGAAGGCCCUUGGGUUGUAAAACUCUUUCGUCGGGGAAGAAAAUGACUGUACCCGAAUAAGAAGGUCCGGCUAACUUCGUGCCAGCAGCCGCGGUAAUACGAAGGGACCUAGCGUAGUUCGGAAUUACUGGGCUUAAAGAGCUCGUAGGUGGUUAAAAAAGUUGAUGGUGAAAUCCCAAGGCUCAACCUUGGAACUGCCAUCAAAACUUUUUAGCUAGAGUGUGAUAGAGGAAAGUGGAAUUUCUAGUGUAGAGGUGAAAUUCGUAGAUAUUAGAAAGAACACCAAAUGCGAAGGCAACUUUCUGGGUCACUACUGACACUGAGGAGCGAAAGCAUGGGUAGCGAAGAGGAUUAGAUACCCUCGUAGUCCAUGCCGUAAACGAUGUGUGCUAGACGUUGGAAAUAUAUUUUUCAGUGUCGCAGCGAAAGCAUUAAGCACACCGCCUGGGGAGUACGACCGCA